GACGAACGCGGCGGCGUGCAUAAUACAUGCAAGUAGAACGCUGAAGAGAGGAGCUUGCUCUUCUGGAUGAGUUGCGAACGGGUGAGUAACGCGUAGGUAACCUGCCUUGUAGCGGGGGAUAACUAUUGGAAACGAUAGCUAAUACCGCAUAACAAUGAGUGACACAUGUCAUUUAUUUGAAAGGGGCAAUUGCUCCACUACAAGAUGGACCUGCGUUGUAUUAGCUAGUAGGUGAGGUAACGGCUCACCUAGGCGACGAUACAUAGCCGACCUGAGAGGGUGAUCGGCCACACUGGGACUGAGACACGGCCCAGACUCCUACGGGAGGCAGCAGUAGGGAAUCUUCGGCAAUGGGGGCAACCCUGACCGAGCAACGCCGCGUGAGUGAAGAAGGUUUUCGGAUCGUAAAGCUCUGUUGUAAGUCAAGAACGAGUGUGAGAGUGGAAAGUUCACACUGUGACGGUAGCUUACCAGAAAGGGACGGCUAACUACGUGCCAGCAGCCGCGGUAAUACGUAGGUCCCGAGCGUUGUCCGGAUUUAUUGGGCGUAAAGCGAGCGCAGGCGGUUUGAUAAGUCUGAAGUUAAAGGCUGUGGCUCAACCAUAGUUCGCUUUGGAAACUGUCAAACUUGAGUGCAGAAGGGGAGAGUGGAAUUCCAUGUGUAGCGGUGAAAUGCGUAGAUAUAUGGAGGAACACCGGUGGCGAAAGCGGCUCUCUGGUCUGUAACUGACGCUGAGGCUCGAAAGCGUGGGGAGCGAACAGG
rnacentral:rRNA from 1 species